rnacentral:misc_RNA from 1 species
UCCGAGUUGACCCCGGCAGUCUCCUAUGAGUCCCCACCAUCACGUGCUGGCAACAUAGGACGAGGGUUGCGCUCGUUGCGGGACUUAACCCAACAUCUCACGACACGAGCUGACGACAACCAUGCACCACCUGUGCACGGCCCUUACGGACCCCACAUCUCUGCGGGAUUUCCGUGCAUGUCAAGCCUUGGUAAGGUUCUUCGCGUUGCGUCGAAUUAAGCCACAUGCUCCGCUGCUUGUGCGGGCCCCCGUCAAUUCCUUUGAGUUUUAGCCUUGCGGCCGUAGUCCCCAGGCGGAUCACUUAAUGCGUUAGCUGCGGCACUGAGGCAUGAACCCCAACACCUAGUGAUCAUAGUUUAGGGCCAAGACUAC